GAGUUGCGAACGGGUGAGUAACGCGUAGGUAACCUGCCUGGUAGCGGGGGAUAACUAUUGGAAACGAUAGCUAAUACCGCAUAAUAACAGUUGUUGCAUGACAACUGUUUGAAAGGUGCAAUUGCAUCACUACCAGAUGGACCUGCGUUGUAUUAGCUAGUUGGUGGGGUAACGGCUCACCAAGGCGACGAUACAUAGCCGACCUGAGAGGGUGAUCGGCCACACUGGGACUGAGACACGGCCCAGACUCCUACGGGAGG
rnacentral:rRNA from 1 species